UACGGAGGGUGCAAGCAUUGAUCGGAAUUAUUGGGCGUAAAGGGCGCGUAGGCGGACCGGAAAGUCAAAUGUGAAAUUCCACGGCUCAACCGUGGAGCUGCAUUUGAAACUUCCAGUCUCGAGCAUAGUUAGGGAAAACGGAAUUCCACGUGUAGCGGUGAAAUGCGUAGAUAUGUGGAAGAACACCAGUGGUGAAGACGGUUUUCUGGGCUAUUGCUGACGCUGAGGCGCGAAAGCUAGGGGAGCAAACAGG
rnacentral:rRNA from 1 species